UACCGGCGGCUCGAGUGGUGACCAUUUUUAUUGGGCUUAAAGCGUUCGUAGCUGGAUUGUUAAGUCUCUUGGGAAAUCCAACGGCUCAACCGUUAGGCGUCUAAGGGAUACUGGCAAUCUAGGGACCGGAAGAGGUGAGAGGUACUCCUGGGGUAGGAGUGAAAUCCUGUAAUCCUAGGGGGACCACCUGUGGCGAAGGCGUCUCACCAGGACGGCUCCGACAGUGAGGGACGAAAGCUGGGGGAGCAAACCGGAUUAGAUACCCGGGUAGUCCCAGCCGUAAACGAUGCGCGUUAGGUGUAUCAGCGACCACGAGUCGCUGAGGUGCCGAAGGGAAACCGUGAAACGUGCCGCCUGGGAAGUACGGUCGCAAGGCUGAAACUUAAAGGAAUUGGCGGGGAGCACCACAACGGGUGGAGCCUGCGGUUU
rnacentral:rRNA from 1 species